rnacentral:rRNA from 1 species
AUUGAUUAUGACGUACUUGUACUGAUUGAGAUUUUAACACGAAGUGAGUGGCGAACGGGUGAGUAACACGUGGGUAACCUGCCCAGAAGUAGGGGAUAACACCUGGAAACAGAUGCUAAUACCGUAUAACAGAGAAAACCGCAUGGUUUUCUUUUAAAAGAUGGCUCUGCUAUCACUUCUGGAUGGACCCGCGGCGUAUUAGCUAGUUGGUGAGGUAAAGGCUCACCAAGGCAGUGAUACGUAGCCGACCUGAGAGGGUAAUCGGCCACAUUGGGACUGAGACACGGCCCAGACUCCUACGGGAGGCAGCAGUAGGGAAUCUUCCACAAUGGACGCAAGUCUGAUGGAGCAACGCCGCGUGAGUGAAGAAGGGUUUCGGCUCGUAAAGCUCUGUUGUUAAAGAAGAACGUGGGUAAGAGUAACUGUUUACCCAGUGACGGUAUUUAACCAGAAAGCCACGGCUAACUACGUGCCAGCAGCCGCGGUAAUACGUAGGUGGCAAGCGUUAUCCGGAUUUAUUGGGCGUAAAGCGAGCGCAGGCGGUCUUUUAAGUCUAAUGUGAAAGCCUUCGGCUCAACCGAAGAAGUGCAUUGGAAACUGGGAGACUUGAGUGCAGAAGAGGACAGUGGAACUCCAUGUGUAGCGGUGAAAUGCGUAGAUAUAUGGAAGAACACCAGUGGCGAAGGCGGCUGUCUGGUCUGCAACUGACGCUGAGGCUCGAAAGCAUGGGUAGCGAACAGGAUUAGAUACCCUGGUAGUCCAUGCCGUAAACGAUGAUUACUAAGUGUUGGAGGGUUUCCGCCCUUCAGUGCUGCAGCUAACGCAUUAAGUAAUCCGCCUGGGGAGUACGACCGCAAGGUUGAAACUCAAAAGAAUUGACGGGGGCCCGCACAAGCGGUGGAGCAUGUGGUUUAAUUCGAAGCUACGCGAAGAACCUUACCAGGUCUUGACAUCUUCUGACAGUCUAAGAGAUUAGAGGUUCCCUUCGGGGACAGAAUGACAGGUGGUGCAUGGUUGUCGUCAGCUCGUGUCGUGAGAUGUUGGGUUAAGUCCCGCAACGAGCGCAACCCUUAUUACUAGUUGCCAGCAUUAAGUUGGGCACUCUAGUGAGACUGCCGGUGACAAACCGGAGGAAGGUGGGGACGACGUCAAAUCAUCAUGCCCCUUAUGACCUGGGCUACACACGUGCUACAAUGGAUGGUACAACGAGUCGCGAGACCGCGAGGUUAAGCUAAUCUCUUAAAACCAUUCUCAGUUCGGACUGUAGGCUGCAACUCGCCUACACGAAGUCGGAAUCGCUAGUAAUCGCGGAUCAGCAUGCCGCGGUGAAUACGUUCCCGGGCCUUGUACACACCGCCCGUCACACCAUGAGAGU